rnacentral:misc_RNA from 1 species
GCAAACUUGGUCAUUUAGAGGAAGUAAAAGUCGUAACAAGGUUUCCGUAGGUGAACCUGCGGAAGGAUCAUUAUUGAAUACCACUUGAUGGGUUGUAGCUGGCCUCUUGAGGCAUGUGCACGCCUGUCUUUUGUUAUAUUCAUCCACCUGUGCACCAAUUGUAGUCUUUUUGGGGGCUGAAAGCGGCUGACAGUCAGUCGAAAGACUGGAUAAGAGGAAUGCGGCGCAUGUAUCAUCAAUGUGCAGCUUUCCUUAGUAGCAGGUCGCAAUCUCUCUCCCCUAGAGUCUAUGCCUUUUAUCUAUAAACCACGUAGUAUGUUGAUGAAUGUAUUCAAUGAGGCCUUGUGCCCAUAAAAAUCUAUACAACUUUCAGCAACGGAUCUCUUGGCUCUCGCAUCGAUGAAGAACGCAGC